rnacentral:lncRNA from 1 species
GAGGCCCGACAUUGUGCUGGGGAAGGAGCUCCAGAAAGGGCCAUCCUUUCUGUUUUGGUUCAGUAUCUGAACACUUUUGCUAAAGGUCUCUGGAAAGCUCCCUGUGUUAAUUCUCGAUGAGACUACGUCUGUGCCGGCCGCUUCCUGAGCCUCCUUCCAUGUGCAUAGGCCUGCUGCAUGCUGGAGACCUGCGGCACAGCUGCCAAGUGCCCCGUGUGGUUCUGUGAUCUUGGGACAGUCACUUCCUCUCUGUGGUUGUCAGUCUUCUCAUCCCUAAGAUGGAAUAAAAAGGCCUACCUCAUUGGGCUCGUGUGGGUGAGGAGAACUGAAGAGUCUGAGAGCGCGGCACGAGCCAGAGGCUACGGAAAACACUGCCCUCCUACACUCCACCUUGGAGAGACCCAGAAAAGAACAAGCUUCAUUUGUAAAAAAGGAAAACAACUCAGGCAAUGGGGGUGGCUUAAAGGCACUCUACAGUGUGCAGAUGCCUUCCACUUCUUCCAUCUGCCCUGUCUCUCCAAGAACCCCUAUGGCCCCGGUCUCAGAACAGAGCUGAGUGCAGAAAUGAAAAUCUAUGGCUCUGUGUUCCAAAACGAUGAAGAAUUUCAAGAUGGUGGCAGUGGUAAAAUCUUUCUCCAGGAAAAAUCUGUCCUUGGCCCAAUGUGUAAACACUUGCUGAGGAACUUGGAAUAACUUGCAGUGUCUUGCAGUAUUGUGAAACCAGCAACUUGUUCACAAUUCUUCUGAAUUUCUUGGGAAAUUUGAAGUGGAGUACCUGUACCAACAUGAAAUGACACGAAUUUAAGUGACGCUCAACAACGAAAAGCAAAAAGAACCAAAGAGGAAGCAACUGAAACAACAUCUGGAUGUAUUUAAAAAUAUACAAUGCCUCCAAAAUCAGGUGUCAUUAAUGAAAAUUCUGAAGAAAUGCCACCGGACAUAGCCAACGCACCUACGCUGUUGUUAUUCAUUUCCUGCUUUUCACAGAAAACAAUUUUGUUGCAUGGAAGAUCGUGAACUUCAAAGGGCAGAGGGGAAACUGUCCCUUGGCCUCUACCCCUCCAAGGCCCCACUUUUUUGUCAACACUCCUUGGACGCAGCAGAAGUAUGAACAUAAUAUGGUCCUGAAUGAGGCUGAGUCUUUGGGCGCAGAAGACCCGGGUUAAUAAAAAUAGGAAGGUAAGAAAAGAAAAGAAAAAUCAAGACACAUCAUAGGACUAAAUUCCUAUUAUUUAUCCACUCAGGAUUGACCACCCCUUUGGGCCAGAUAGUUGUACCCCCAUGUACCAGGUGGGCACAUGAAGACACAAGAAGUGCUGUGAUGGUUCAUUUUGCACGUCACCUUGCGUGGAGUAUGC